rnacentral:rRNA from 1 species
UACGAAGGGGGCUAGCGUUGCUCGGAAUCACUGGGCGUAAAGGGUGCGUAGGCGGGUCUUUAAGUCAGGGGUGAAAUCCUGGAGCUCAACUCCAGAACUGCCUUUGAUACUGAAGAUCUUGAGUUCGGGAGAGGUGAGUGGGAACUGCGAGUGUAGAGGUGAAAUUCGUAGAUAUUCGCAAGAACACCAGUGGCGAAGGCGGCUCAACGUGGCCCG